UACGUAGGGGGCAAGCGUUACCCGGAUUCACUGGGCGUAAAGCGCGUGUAGGCGGCUGGCCAAGCGUGGUGUGAAAUCUCCGGGCUCAACCCGGAAACUGCACUGCGAACUGGCCUGGCUGGAGUGCAGGAGAGGGAUGCGGAAUUCACGGUGUAGCGGUGAAAUGCGUAGAUAUCGUGAGGAACACCAGUGGCGAAGGCGGCAUCCUGGCCUGUAACUGACGCUGAGACGCGAAGGCGUGGGGAGCGAACCGG
rnacentral:rRNA from 1 species